rnacentral:rRNA from 1 species
AAUGAACGUUGGCGGCGUGGAUUAGGCAUGCAAGUCGCGCGAGAAGCUAAUUAGCUUGCUAAGAGGCGGACAGCGGCGGAAGGGAGAGUAACGCGUGGUUACGUACCCUCGAGACCGGGAUAGUAGCGGGAAACUGCUAGUAAUACCGGAUAACAUCUUCGGAUCAAAUGGUGUGAUUCCGCUCGAGGAUUGGACCGCGUACUAUUAGCUUGUUGGCGGGGUAAUGGCCCACCAAGGCUGCGAUGGUUACCGGGUGUGAGAGCAUGGCCCGGCUCACUGGGACUGAGACACUGCCCAGACAUCUACGGAUGGCUGCAGUCGAGAAUCUUCGGCAAUGGACGAAAGUCUGACCGAGCGACGCCGCGUGCGGGAUGAAGGCCCUCGGGUUGUAAACCGCUGUCAGUUAGGAGGAAAUCUAUGAGGGUUCU